rnacentral:snRNA from 1 species
GAGCACUUGUGUUUUUAUACUGAAAUUGGAACGACAGAGAAGUUCAGCAUGGCCCGUGGGCAAGGAUGGCAUGCAAAUUCAUGAAGUGUUCCAUGUUUAU